ACAUCGGUCAAACAGAUUGCGAUGAGGUAACUGCGCAAAUAAAAUCGGAAACCUCCCCCCAUAUCAGUGCACGGUUCCCUUCCUCGUCUCGCGCUGGAUCCAUCGCACGCCCGGAGGCCGGUGGCGGAGGCAUCACCACAAGCUGAGCAAGGCAAAUCCGGCUGGUAGAUUGUUCAGAUCCGGCUGGUACGUGUUGGUAAAAUCCUGCGUGUUCAUCUAAUUGUCCAGAUCCGGCUGGUACGUGGUGGUAACAAUCCUGCGUGUUCAUCUACAGAUGUGUCUGAGACAAGAAUUAACGUUGUUGAAUCCAAUGAGGACUAUAUGGCAGAAGAACCAAUCGAACAUCAUAAUUAUGCUGAAAAAGAUGUCGAGUCAUCUGAUGUCUAGGAAAUAACUACUAAUGAUAAAGAAGGUUUCACAGAUUGUGAUGAUACUGAUGCAGAUUAAAAUGAAGAUGUGCACGGCAACUAGAAAAAGGUUCUGCUACACACAAGUUUUCCAGAACCAAGAAACUUUUGAUCAGAAUUUCAGUACAUGGCAAGAGAAAAUAAAUGCUGCUGCACACAAGGAACUAAAGUAUUCUUGAACAGCCUGAAAAAUCAUAACUGGGACGUAGCUCUUGGUACAAUUGUAAGUUGUGAUCCUAAAUUUAAACUUGAUGGUGCUGAAAUUAGAAAUGGAUUCUGCGUAGUGCAUGUCGAUAUGGCACUUGUCAAAACUGAAAAUUGGAUUCAAAAGAAAAUGGAUGACUAUAUGGUGUGUGGAAAGUGUACUGCAAUGAUGAUGUUCAUGUUCAGAUUCAUGAUGAUGAUGGAUGCUUUCAGUUUUAGUUAAGUUGUAGGGAUGGCGCCUAUUGGAUGUUGUUCCUCGUUGAUUUUUAGUUAAGUUGUAGAGAAGUUGAUUGAUGCUUUCAAUGUAAGUUUUGUUGUCAAGAAAAUAGUCAGAUUAUGCAUCACAUUUGGAUGAUGUUCCUCCUGUAAUAUCCACUAUUGUAAUCCAACAGUUCUAUCUAAUAUAUGAUUUCUUCCUCUACGAGUA